CAUGGGUGAAACGCAAGCACAAUAUCUGAGAAAACCACAUACAGACACCUAGUCUUCGUCACAACAAGGCCUGAUUAUUGGAACCAUUCUCCGCAAAAGACAAACCCAGAGUUCUUACCGGACUCUCCACAGAGCAGCGCUACGUCAAAGACAUUGAGAAGUCGGAGCCCGACCGCGGACCCUAAAUGCACCACCUCAAAAAACCGUUUCGACUUCGGGGGAACUGUCGCAACCCGCGGCUUCGUUCUGGCCUCCGGGGGCGAACAGCCGCGUUUAGGGGAGAGGGCCGGUGCUAAAGGCCGAACACGUGUCCGUCUCCCCCCGCUCAGCCGUUACCUUUCGAGGCUCCGGGUUCUCCUGGAGCCGCGACUGAAGUCUGUCCACUGCUUCCAGCAGCUCCUCCGCCAUGUUUACUGCUGGUACCCUGUCGCCCGGAAACUACUUCAUCCGGAUUGAACCGCGGCGACGAAAGAGGAGGUUCCGCCUGUCGAGUUUUAAAAUCAGCGUUAACAUUUAAAUAAAUGACUCAUUAAACUAC